CGGACCAAUUGGUGGCCGCUCUUCAGGACGCACUGGAGGACGCAGACUGGGGCAUGUUCCAGAGUAGUUCCGGAAACAUCAGUGAGUUUGCCGAAACGGUUGUGAGUUUCAUUGGGAAACUAACGGACAAUCGUCAGAACGUUUCCCAACCAGAAGCCGUGGGUGGAUAAAACCAUCCGCGACGCUCUGAAAUCUCGCACCGCGACCUAUAACGCGGGGCUCACUUCUGGGGACAUGGAACCAUACAAGGCUGCGUCAUACAGCGUCAGGAAAGCGGUGAAGGAGGCGAAGCAGCGCUACGGGAAGAAACUGGAGUCACAACUCGAACAGAGUGACUCUAGGAGCCUGUGGCGGGGACUACGGACAAUAACGGACUAUACAGCACCAACAUCCGGUACGAAGAACGCGGACGUGUCUCUGGCAGACGAGCUAAAUACGUUCUAUGCUCGCUUCGAGGCUGCAGCUAAAGGCGCUAGCGAUGCUACGGCUAGCGGCUCCAGCAGCUGCAGACGGGAGGACACUGCCAGCACCGAGCAUGACGUGAGGAGAGCCUUCAAGAGAGUGAACACCAGGAAGGCAGCAGGACCAGACGGCAUCUCGGGGAGAAUCCUCAGAGCCUGCGCGGACCAGCUAGCACCUGUGUUUACCGAGAUAUUCAACCUCUCUCUAUCUCAGUCGGUGAUCCCCACAUGCUUCAAGGAGUCCAUCAUUGUUCCGGUCCCCAAGAAAACCCAUCCUGCCUCCCUCAAUGACUACCGCCCUGUAGCCCUUACCUCAGUAGUGAUGAAGAUCUUUGAACGGCUGGUCAGAGACUUCAUCAUUUCUUCACUACCAGAUACACUCGACCCACUACAGUUUUCGUAUCGUCCCAACCGGUCCACAGAUGAUGCCAUAUCACAUCUCCUCCAUACAGCAUUCACCCACCUGGACACUCGGAAGGGAAAUUAUGUUAAAAUGCUCUUCAUUGACUACAGUUCAGCAUUUAACACAAUAAUCCCUUCCACACUCACCACCAAGCUGGAGCACCUGGGACUCAGCUCAUCUCUCUGUCAGUGGAUCUCCAACUUCCUAACCGGGAGACCACAGGCAGUAAGGAUGGGUGGACAUGUCUCAACCUCCAUCACCCUCAGCACUGGAGCCCCCCAGGGCUGUGUUUUGAGCC
rnacentral:lncRNA from 1 species